rnacentral:rRNA from 1 species
CCUGGUUGAUCCUGCCAUAGUCAUAUGCUUGUCUCAAAUGAUUAAGCAUGCAAUGUGUAAGUAUGAACUAAUUCAGACUGUGAAACUGCGAAGGCUCAUUAAAUCAGUUAUAGUUAUGUUUGAUGGUAAUCUGCUACUCGAUAACCGUAGUAAUUCUAGAAGCUAAUACGUGCAACAAAACCCCGACUUCUGGAAGGGAUGCAUUAUUAGAUAAAGGUCGAACGCGGGCUCUGCCCGUUGCCUGAUGAUUCAAGGAUAAUCGAUCGAUCGCAGGGCAUCGUGCCGGCGACGCAUCAUUCAAUUUCCUGCCCUAUCAACUUUCGAAUGGUAGGAUAGAGGCCUACCAUGGUGGUGACGGUGACGGAGAUUAGGGUUCCGAAUUUCCGGAGAGGGAGCCUGAGAAACGGCUACCACCAUCCCAAGGAAGGCAGCAGGCGCGCACAAUUACCCAAUCCUACACGGGGAGGUAGUGACAAUAAAUAACAAUACCGCGGCUCAUUCCGAGUCUGGUAAUUGGAAUGAGUACAAUCUAAAUCCCUUAACGAGGAUCCAUUGGAGGGCAAGUCUGUGCCAGCAGCCCGCGUAAUUCCCAGCUCCAAUAGAGUAUAUUUAAAGUUAGUUGCACUUUUUAAAAAGCUCGUAAGUUGGACCUUGGGUUGGGUCGAGAGACCAGGAUCCGCCUCGCGGUGCUGCACCAUGUCGGCCGUUCGUUUCCCUUCGCCAGGCAGAUGCGCUCCUGGCCUUAACUGGCCGGGUCGUGCCUCCCGGCGCUGUUACUUUGAAGAAAUUUAGAGAUGCUCAAAGCAAGCCUACGCUCUGGAGUACAUUAGCCAUCGGGAAUAACAUCAAUAGGAUUUCGGUCCUAUUGUUGUUGGCCUUCGGGAUCGGAGUAAUGAUUAACAGGGACAACGUCGGGGGCAAAUUCGUAUUUCAAUAGUCAGAGGUGAAAUUGCGCUUUGAUUAUGAAAGACGAACACACUGCGAAAGCAUUUGGCCAAGGAUGUUUUUCAUUAACAAGAAACGAAAGUUGGGGGCUCGAAGACGAGCAGAUUACCGUCCUAGCUCAACCAUUAAACGAUGCCGACGCAAGCGGAAUCGGCGGAUGUUUGCUUUAGGACUCCGCCGGCACCUUAAUGAGAAAUCAAAGUCUUUGGGUUCCGGGGGAGUAUGGUCGCAAGCUAGAAACUUAAAGGAAUUGACGGAGGGCACCACCAGGAGUGGACCUCGCGGCUUAAUUUGACUCACACGCGGGAAACUUACCAAGCCCAUGACAUAGUAAGUGAGUUUGACAGACUGAGUAGCCUUUCUUUGAUUCUAAGGUGUGGUGCAUGGCCGUUCUAGUUGUGGUGAGCGAUUUGUCUGGUUAUUCCGUUAACGAACGAGACCUCAGCACUGCUAACUAGCUAUGCGGAGGUACCCUCCGCGCCCAGCUUCUUAGAGGGACAUGGACAUUAUUUGGAGUGCCAAGGAAGUUUGAGGCAAUAACAGGUCCUGUGAUGCCUAGAGUUCUGGGCCGCACGCGCGCUACACUGAUGUAUCAACGAGCAUAUAGCCUUGGCCGAACAGGCCCGGUAAUCUUUGAAAUUUCAUCGUGAUGGGGAUAGAUCAUGCAAUUGUUGGUCUUCAAAACGAGGAAUUCCUAGUAAGAUCCGCGAGGUCAUCCAGCUCGCGUUGACCACGUCCCUGCUUUUGUACACACCAGCCCGUCCUCCUAUCCGAAUUGAAUGGUCCGGUAGAAGUGUUCGGAUCCGCGGGGCGACGUGGGCGGUUCCGCCGCCGGCGACGUCGCGAGAAGUCCACACUGAACUUAAUCAUUUAGAGGAAGGAGAAGUCGUAACAAGGUUUCCGUAGGUGAACCCUGCGGAAG